AGAUGGAGCGAGGAGGAUGUGCGGCGACUGGGGUUUGCACGGCUAGGGCUAGCCGACAAGAUAGAGAUCUACAAGCCGUGGGCUCCGGAGCCGGAUCGGCCGCCUGCUCCUUCUCUGCCACCUCCUGCGGGGAUAGGGGAGGAGCAGCCAGAUCACAUCAGGGAGGCUCUUGA
rnacentral:misc_RNA from 1 species